GACGAACGCUGGCGGCGUGCUUAACACAUGCAAGUCGAACGAAGUGGCGAACGGGUGAGUAAUACGUGGGUAACUGCCCUCCUUUUUGGGUUAAGCCUUGGAAACGGGGUCUAAUACCGCAUACCAUCAGAUGAACCCAGAUGGGAUUAGCUAGUAGGUGAGGUAACGGCUUACCUAGGCGACGGUCCCUAGCUGGUCGGAGAGGAUGAUCAGCCACACGGGGCUGAGACACGGCCCAGACUCCUACGUGAGGGAGCAGUGGGGAAGAUUGCACAAUGGGCGAAAGCCUGAUGCAGCGACGCCGCGGGGGGGAUGAAGGCGUUCGGGUUGUAAACCUCGUUCGCUAUCGAAAGGGUAGGUGGAGAAGAAGCGCCGGCUAACUACGUGCCAGCAGCCGCGGUAAUUC
rnacentral:rRNA from 1 species